rnacentral:rRNA from 1 species
UACGUAGGGCGCAAGCGUUGUCCGGAAUUAUUGGGCGUAAAGAGCUCGUAGGCGGCUUGUCGCGUCUGCUGUGAAAACCUAAGGCUCAACCUUGGGCUUGCAGUGGGUACGGGCAGACUAGAGUGCGGUAGGGGUGACUGGAAUUCCUGGUGUAGCGGUGGAAUGCGCAGAUAUCAGGAGGAACACCGAUGGCGAAGGCAGGUCACUGGGCCGCAACUGACGCUGAGGAGCGAAAGCGUGGGGAGCGAACAGG